rnacentral:rRNA from 1 species
UACAGGGGGUGCAAACGUUGCUCGGAAUCAUUGGGCGUAAAGCGCGCGUAGGCGGUUAUUUAAGUCGGAUGUGAAAGCCCUCGGCUCAACUGGGGAAGUGCAUCCGAAACUGAAUGGCUUGAGUACGAAAGAGGGUCGCGGAAUUCCCGGUGUAGAGGUGAAAUUCGUAGAUAUCGGGAGGAACACCGGUGGCGAAGGCGGCGACCUGGGUCGAUACUGACGCUGAGGCGCGAAAGCGUGGGGAGCAAACAGG